rnacentral:rRNA from 1 species
UGAGGAAUAUUGGUCAAUGGGCGAGAGCCUGAGCCAGCCAAGUAGCGUGCAGGAUGACGGCCCUAUGGGUUGUAAACUGCUUUUAUGUGGGGAUAAAGUGAGCUACGUGUAGUUUAUUGCAGGUACCACAUGAAUAAGGACCGGCUAAUUCCGUGCCAGCAGCCGCGGUAAUACGGAAGGUCCAGGCGUUAUCCGGAUUUAUUGGGUUUAAAGGGAGCGUAGGCCGUGGAUUAAGCGUGUUGUGAAAUGUAGACGCUCAACGUCUGAAUUGCAGCGCGAACUGGUUCACUUGAGUAUGCACAACGUAGGCGGAAUUCGUCGUGUAGCGGUGAAAUGCUUAGAUAUGACGAAGAACUCCGAUUGCGAAGGCAGCUUACGGGAGCACAACUGACGCUGAAGCUCGAAGGUGCGGGUAUCAAACAGGAUUAGAUACCCUGGUAGUCCGCACAGUAAACGAUGGAUGCCCGUUGUUAGUUCACUUAAGAAUUAGCGACCAAGCGAAAGCAUUAAGCAUCCCACCUGGGGAGUACGCCGGCAACGGUG